UCUGUUUCAGUGACAAGGUGAAGCUGGAGCGGGGGAACCAACUUUUGGGGCAUAUCUCACACUCGAAACCCGAGUCGAGAGGGACAACUCUCAGUCCUAGCCCGUCAGCUAACUCCGUAGGCAUUGGGAGGAGACUGA
rnacentral:sRNA from 2 species